GUGAGAGUGUGGAAGCGUGUGACCUGAAUCAGCCAUAUUUUCUGAAACACCUGGAGAGGAGAUGGAUGAAUUUCAUGGGAUGAAACAGAAUCACCCUCCACUACUGCCUGUACCCUUACAACCUGGCACUUCCUCUGAUGGGCGUUCCAACCAUUCCACAAUGCCUAACCAAGGUACUAAAAGAAAGCGUGAUCAUAAAUC